GGAGAGAUGGAUGAGUGGUUUAAAUCAACGGUUUACUAAACCGUCGUUCCUUAAUUGGAACCGCGAGUUCGAAUCUCGCUCUCUCCG
rfam:Parcubacteria bacterium C7867-005 C7867_00016, whole genome shotgun sequence.